rnacentral:misc_RNA from 1 species
ACAGAUGACCCCCGAAAGC